rnacentral:rRNA from 1 species
GACGAACGCUGGCGGCGUGCUUAACACAUGCAAGUCGAACGGAAAGGCCCUGCUUUUGUGGGGUGCUCGAGUGGCGAACGGGUGAGUAACACGUGAGUAACCUGCCCUUGACUUUGGGAUAACUUCAGGAAACUGGGGCUAAUACCGGAUAGGAGCUCCUGCUGCAUGGUGGGGGUUGGAAAGUUUCGGCGGUUGGGGAUGGACUCGCGGCUUAUCAGCUUGUUGGUGGGGUAGUGGCUUACCAAGGCUUUGACGGGUAGCCGGCCUGAGAGGGUGACCGGCCACAUUGGGACUGAGAUACGGCCCAGACUCCUACGGGAGGCAGCAGUGGGGAAUAUUGCACAAUGGGCGGAAGCCUGAGGCAGCAACGCCGCGUGCGGGAUGACGGCCUUCGGGUUGGAAACCGCUUUCGCCUGUGACGAAGCGUGAGUGACGGUAAUGGGUAAAGAAGCACCGGCUAACUACGUG